CUACCCGCUCCGCGAGUGGUGGGGACUUUUACUGGGCUUAAAGCGCCCGUAGCCGGCUGGGUGUGUCCUCCGUUAAAUCCACAGGCCUAACCUGUGGGCUGCGGGGGAUACUACCCGGCUUGGGGGUGGGAGAGGGCGGCGGUAUUCCCGGGGUAGGGGUAAAAUCCACUGAUCCCGGGAGGACCACCAGUGGCGAAGGCGGCCGCCCAGAACACGCCCGACGGUGAGGGGCGAAAGCUGGGGGAGCAAACGGGAUUAGAAACCCUAGUAGUCC
rnacentral:rRNA from 1 species